AGCGAACGCUGGCGGCAGGCCUAACACAUGCAAGUCGAACGAACCUUUCGGGGUUAGUGGCGGACGGGUGAGUAACACGUGGGAACGUGCCUUUAGGUUCGGAAUAACUCAGGGAAACUUGUGCUAAUACCGAAUGUGCCCUUCGGGUGAAAGAUUAAUCGCCUUUAGAGCGGCCCGCGUCUGAUUAGCUAGUUGGUUGAGGUAAUGGCUCACCAAGGCGACGAUCAGUAGCUGGUCUGAGAGGAUGAUCAGCCACAUUGGGACUGAGACACGGCCCAAACUCCUACGGGAGGCAGCAGUGGGGAAUCUUGCGCAAUGGGCGAAAGCAUGACGCAGCCAUGCCGCGUGAAUGAUGAAGGUCUUAGGAUUGUAAAAUUCUUUAACCGGGGACGAUAAUGACGGUACCCGGAGAAGAAGCCCCGGCUAACUUCGUG
rnacentral:rRNA from 1 species